UACGAAGGGGGCUAGCGUUGCUCGGAAUCACUGGGCGUAAAGGGUGCGUAGGCGGGUUUUUAAGUCAGGGGUGAAAUCCUGGAGCUCAACUCCAGAACUGCCUUUGAUACUGAAGAUCUUGAGUCCGGGAGAGGUGAGUGGAACUGCGAGUGUAGAGGUGAAAUUCGUAGAUAUUCGGAGGAACACCAGUGGCGAAGGCGGCUCACUGGUCCAUUACUGACGCUGAGGUGCGAAAGCGUGGGGAGCAAACAGG
rnacentral:rRNA from 1 species